AAGAAAAUACUCCUGCAAAUAACACAUAAAAGAUGAAGGUGAUGGGGAUGGAUACAGACUUUAAAAUGUUUUGCCUUUUAGAACUCAAAUUACCAUUCUAUUUUUUUUUAAAUGUAUUUUUCCUUCUUAGGUGCGGCAGGAAAGCAUGCCAUUUUUCUCUCUCUUUAGAGCUCUUAGUUUUAAAAUAUAUAUGUACAUAAUGGUAUUAUAUACAUAUGCAUAUUGCACUAAGUGUGCCUCCCAUACACAAGGUACAAAAGUCUAAUUUCCCCUUGAAAACUAGUUGUGUUAAGAACUCCCAGCUUUGUCCCAGACCAGACCUUACAAGCAUCUCUGUGUAUGAGAGGAUUUGCAACGAUUAACAAAUUAAUUUCUUAGGAGGCGUUAGUUCCCUGCCGCGGAAUCACUGGGUACCCCUUCUGUGUUGCAAGUUAGCAAUGAAUUGACUUGAACUCAUCACUCUAAGAAAGAACAGUAUGGAAAUCAGAGAUUGAGUUUGGUGGAAAUUAGCAGCUGAGAGAUGGAGGUGCCAGGGUUUUGAUUUAAAUGUGGCACAACAAGAUUCUGUCAGCAAAGCACAUCAUUAGAAUAUUGAGUUUGGAACUGCUAAUUUUUCCUUUAAAAUGAGCAUACAGUCGAGUGUUUCAUGGACCAUAAUAAAUGCCAUUGUGUUGUCGCCGCGCUUGUUUGGAUUGUUGUCACACGGGUUUGGCAGUCACUCUGCUUUUUCUCUUUCCCAUUUCUCCCCCAGUCUUACAUCCUUAAUAGAUCCCAAACCCAAACCAGUCAAAAAAGGAUGCUGCUUCCUCCUUCGUCUUCCCAUUAACAUCUUCUCUGCACUGCUUUCUUGCUUACCAUAGCAAGGCGUUUGCAGAUGGCUGUCGGUUACUAUAAAGUACGUAACAAUAUCUCCUUGGUGGCAGAUGGAUUUAAGACUUUUAGUUCUCAAUAAAUGUAGGUUUACAAUACAUAACUUUACAGGAUUCGUGUUGUAUAUAACAGGUUGAACAUAUUAUCUCAGAAUUCAUCUGCAUGGCAUUUUCAGCUUACACAGGGUCCAUGCCAGGUUUUGUUGUUGUUGUUGUUGUUGGGUUUUUUUUUUUUCCUUUUUCUUUUUUCUUUUCUUUUUUUUUUUUUAAGUAAUAGGGAAUUGCUGUGAUUGAUAGCAACAGCUCAAGGCGUGAUUUUGAAUAGAAACAAAGGGUUUGGAACAGAAGGUGUCAAAUUAAACUUUGUCAGUUUGAAAAGUAGUAACAUCCUGAAAGUUGUACUAAUUUAUUUACAUGUGGCUACUGUUUGUAUUUUGCCCUCAUUAGAUGCAGUGUGAUGCUGCUUGGCAAUUUACCACAUUUAAAGUUUAGGUUGUUCCUUGUGCCAUUUUAGUUUUUCUGAGAAUGGAUCGGUCUCAUUGUGAAGACUUGUUAGGCCACCGUCUUUUCUACCAUUCAAAGAGUUGUAAUCUAAUUUAAUUUUGAAAGCAGUUCCAGAUCUGCCUGUCUCUGGUUGUACACGGCUCAGCAAAUCCCAGAGAUCUUUCCUAAAAGAAUAAUGUUCACAUUUUACAGCACAGCACCAAGUCUCAUUCUUCUCUCUCUUUCCCCCUAAGCAGUGUGGUACUUCUGGGGAAGUCUUGUCAGAUGUUAGCAAUGUUCAGGCCUCUGGGUCACCUUUCCACAUGCAUUCAUUCUAUCACCUGGGGAACUGGCCUAAGAAAACGUAUUGGGGAAUUAGAGGGCAUUUAUAUCCUCUUUAGUUGCUUUCUUCAAAUCAUAGGUUACUGUCAUGACUUAUGGAGUGGAGAGGGAUAGAAUUUGAGGUUGUAGCAAGGUAUUUAGUAUAAGAACAGAUUAGUUGGGGGAUAUAUCAGUCUGUUUCUAUUGUGACAAAUGAAAAAAGAAAGGUGUCAAAAAUGUGUGUUCCCUUUAGUUAAGAGUUCACACAAGCACAACCCGUUUUCUUUUCCCUUCUUUCCUUCCUUUUUUGAACACCCUUGUAGAGUUUUAACAGUUCCCAGAUGCACUGUCAAAUAUUUUUGUAUGAGGCAUCCGAUUUCAGUCUCUUCAGCUCAUCCUGUCUCUAAAAGGCUAGCGGAAACACGCUUCAGCGCAGAUUCAUCGCGUUAUUUUUAGAUAAGGAAUUAGAAGUAUUAUUUAAGGGCAGAGGUUAAUAGCAAAGUACUGGAAGUGUUAUGUUAGUCAUGGGCAAUUAAUAAAAAUAAGGAUCUGUCUGGGAAGUGCCGAAGACACAGAAGUGACAAUAUAGGCAAAAUGUUUGUUGAAUGAGUCAGGGUUCUCUUUCUGAAAUAUUUGUUAAACCCGCACGAGUGUGAUUAUUUAGGAAUUAGCUGUCAUUAUUAGCCGUUUUAAAAGAACUAAUGAUUUUCUUUUCCAAAGAACAUCUGUGAUCCACAUGUUUUUCCCUUCCAUCCAAGCACCAAGUGAUCUCUGCCUUUACUUAAAGAAGUUUCUGAAGGAUGUGAGACCAUCCAUGUUUUCAGCACUCUCCAAGAAGGUUUUCUGACGUGAAUCAUUCUUAAUUUAACUCUUGGCAAUUUUUAGCUACAGGCAUUUAUUUCUU
rnacentral:lncRNA from 1 species